rnacentral:rRNA from 1 species
UACGUAGGGUGCGAGCGUUGUCCGGAAUUACUGGGCGUAAAGAGUGUGUAGGCGGUGUUCUAAGUCUGGUGUGAAAUCUCCCGGCUCAACUGGGAGGGUGCGCUAGAAACUGGAAUGCUAGAGGAUGGGAGAGGUAAGCGGAAUUCCUGGUGUAGCGGUGAAAUGCGUAGAUAUCAGGAGGAACACCUGUGGUGUAGACAGCUUACUGGACCAUUUCUGACGCUGAGACACGAAAGCGUGGGUAGCAAACAGG